rnacentral:rRNA from 1 species
UACGUAGGUGGCAAGCGUUGUCCGGAUUUACUGGGCGUAAAGAGCGCGCAGGCGGUCAGAUAAGUCGAAUGUGAAAGCCCCCCGGCUCAACUGGGGAGGGUCAUUCGAUACUGUUCGACUUCGAAGGCAGGAGAGGGAAGCGGAAUUCCCGGUGUAGUGGUGAAAUGCGUAGAUAUCGGGAGGAACACCAGUGGCGAAGGCGGGUCUCUGGGCCGAUACUGACGCUGAGGAGCGAAAGCGUGGGGAGCGAACAGG